rnacentral:lncRNA from 1 species
CACACAAACAUUUAAUUUCCAAAAUUAUAUAUAUAUAUAUAAAUAUAUAGACACACAUGCACACACAUAUACAAACACAAACAACAUGUAUAAGCAUAUGUAAUAGAUCCUUAUACCAAUCAUAGAGGGCGUUUUAGUGCACCGGGAUGCCCUUGCCCUAAAUCUGUGCCAUCACAAGUGCAACACAUAACACCAAUAGAUCCUUAUACCAACCAAUGACACUCACAAGCUUCCAAAAUCUUCAUCUUCAUUAAAGCUUAAUUUCAACAUAAAGCAAUCAUAGUUUAAAGCACAUUGGCCAUAACCAUGGCAAUACAACACAAAUCUUACAUAUCUUGUGCAAGGCAGGUUCAAAUAUAAGCUAAAACUCUUUUUUCAUUUAAAAAUCCUUACUUUAAUCCCAUAAAUAGUCCCUAAAUUAUAUUACUAGCACUAAAUGUCUAGGUUUAAUUAUCUAUAUGUUUUCUCCUUUGCAACAGAACAUAACAUAUC